rnacentral:rRNA from 1 species
CAGUAGCCGCGGUAAUACGGAGGGUGCAAGCGUUAAUCGGAAUUACUGGGCGUAAAGCGCACGCAGGCGGUCUGUCAAGUCGGAUGUGAAAUCCCCGGGCUCAACCUGGGAACUGCAUUCGAAACUGGCAGGCUAGAGUCUUGUAGAGGGGGGUAGAAUUCCAGGUGUAGCGGUGAAAUGCGUAGAGAUCUGGAGGAAUACCGGUGGCGAAGGCGGCCCCCUGGACAAAGACUGACGCUCAGGUGCGAAAGCGUGGGGAGCAAACAGGAUUAGAUACCCCUGUAGUCCCUGUCUCUAUACA